AUCAAUGGCACAGUUUAACUCCAUGUGGCUCAACUUACCCUCUCCUAGGCUCACUUUACCCCACCCUGGGGGCAAGUUGAGUCAAGAGACCACUUUUUUUUUUUUUAAAGAUCCAAAAUGAUUAUUCCCAAGGAUGCACCACAUUCUGAAAUGUAUGUACAUAUUUAAGUUGGACCCAUUACUGUUGUGUGCUCGCUUUAAACACACCGUCAAAGGUCUGUCUCCUGGCCUAGAGAGGGACAGCUGUGUGGUGCUUAUAGAUCUCUGGUCACUUUCUCCCCAUAUGGAUCAGCUCAGAUACAGCUGCUCUGAGGGACCAUGUGUCUGGUGUUGGAUGACUCUGUUGAAUCUUGCUCCGCUCCCUGAAUCUUUCACAUAA
rnacentral:lncRNA from 1 species